rnacentral:rRNA from 1 species
GGUUGCGAUCAUACCAGCACUAAUGCACCGGAUCCCAUCAGAACUCCGCAAUUAAGCGUGCUUGGGCGAGAGUAGUACUAGGAUGGGUGACCCCCUGGGAAGUCCUCGUGUUGCAACCCC